UCGCUCCUACCGAUUUCGAGUGUUCCGGUGAACCUUUUGGACCGCGAAGGUCUUGUACUUUUGCGGAAAAUCAAGUAAACCAUAACACUUAGAGGAAGGAG
rnacentral:rRNA from 1 species